CCCUACGGGGUGCAGCAGGCGAGAAAACUUUGCAAUGUGCGAAAGCACGACAAGGUUAAUCCGAGUGGUUUGUGCUAAACGAACCUUUUGACAGUCCUAGAAACACUGUUGAAUAAGGGGUGGGCAAGUUCUGGUGUCAGCCGCCGCGGUAAAACCAGCACCUCAAGUGGUCAGGAUGAUUAUUGGGCCUAAAGCAUCCGUAGCCGGCUCUAUAAGUUUUCGGUUAAAUCUGUACGCUCAACGUACAGGCUGCCGGGAAUACUGCAGAGCUAGGGAGUGGGAGAGGUAGACGGUACUCGGUAGGAAGGGGUAAAAUCCUUUGAUCUAUUGAUGACCACCUGUGGCGAAGGCGGUCUACCAGAACACGUCCGACGGUGAGGGAUGAAAGCUGGGGGAGCAAACCGGAUUAGAUACCCGGGUAGUCCCAGCUGUAAACUAUGCAAACUCAGUGAUGCAUUGGCUUGUGGCCAAUGCAGUGCUGCAGGGAAGCCGUUAAGUUUGCCGCCUGGGAAGUACGUACGCAAGUAUGAAACUUAAAGGAAUUGGCGGGGGAGCACCACAAGGGGUGAAGCCUGCGGUUCAAUUGGAGUCAACGCCAGAAAUCUUACCCGGAGAGACAGCAGAAUGAAGGUCAAGCUGAAGACUUUACCAGACAAGCUGAGAAGAAGUGCAUGGCC
rnacentral:rRNA from 1 species